GCUUCAAUUAUUCUCUGUUUUUUCAUGGGUUAGCAUUUAUUGCUAUGUCAUUGAUUUCUUUCUAGGUUACCUCCUACAGUGGUGGUAGUAGGCACGACACAGUGGUUUCUCUGUGGCACCAGUUCAAAAGAAGCUCAAAAACAAAUAAAAGAAAAUACUAGUUCUACGAUUGAAGUCAGGAGAUUAAGUGAUACUGGACAACUCAUCUCUGAAGAAACUUCAGAGAGCUUUAUUUUUGGCAGCUGGACAGUUCCAUUGUUGCCGUGA
rnacentral:lncRNA from 1 species